UUUGCUAUUUCUUCUCCGGGUAAAAAAUCACGCUGGUGUAUGCACAAUGUUUUGUGUCCGUGUUGUUCGAAGUUUUCAAUGCAAUCUUUCAGAACAAAAUCUAGCUCACUGUCUGCAUACGAAAUAAACGCAUCAUACUUAUGUUGAUAACAGUUAACAACAGGUUUGUUUUGUUUAUAUUUGCUUUUUGUCAUGUAGUACAAGUAACGGAUCCUCCAACGGUAACGAUAUAAUAAUCCUACGAUAAUCACUGUCAGCAUUGCAAAAAUAGCAAUUGAAAUACAAAUUAUAAGCACUGCAUGGGAUUCGCAUUCUCUCGCUAUCUGUAAAAAUGUAUGUUUAAACUCCUGAAUUUCUAAG
rnacentral:lncRNA from 1 species